AAAUGAAUAGACGGGGGCCCGCACAAGCGGUGGAGCAUGUGGUUUAAUUCGAAGCAACGCGAAGAACCUUACCAGGUCUUGACAUCCUUUGCUAACCUGAGAGAUCAGGCGUUCCCUUCGGGGACAAAGUGACAGGUGGUGCAUGGUUGUCGUCAGCUCGUGUCGUGAGAUGUUGGGUUAAGUCCCGCAACGAGCGCAACCCUUAUAAUUAGUUGCCAGCAUUCAGUUGGGCACUCUAGUUAGACUGCCGGUGACAAACCGGAGGAAGGUGGGGAUGACGUCAAAUCAUCAUGCCCCUUAUGACCUGGGCUACACACGUGCUACAAUGGAUGGUACAACGAGUCGCUAGACCGCGAGGUCAUGCUAAUCUCUUAAAACCAUUCUCAGUUCGGAUUGCAGGCUGCAACUCGCCUGCAUGAAGCUGGAAUCGCUAGUAAUCGCGGAUCAGCACGCCGCGGUGAAUACGUUCCCGGGCCUUGUACACACCGCCCGU
rnacentral:rRNA from 1 species